rnacentral:snRNA from 1 species
GGAUGUGAGGGUGACCCAUUAAUUGCCAGGGUUGAUUCAGCUGAUCUGGCUGGCAAGGCAGGUGUCCUCUUCCUCCUUCACCGCUCCAUGUGUGUCCUUCUCGAAGCUGCGUGCUCGGUCGAAGAGGACAACCACCCCAUAGAGGACCAUUUCCUCUGUCAAGGAUAUACAAAUAGCUGUACUCCCUUGCUAGAACCUCCAAACAAGCUCUCAAGGUCCAUUUAAGCAACAUUUUCCAGGCAGCCAAGGCUGGCUCAUUUAAGGAGAAAGUUUU